rnacentral:rRNA from 1 species
UAGGGAGUCUUCGGCAAUGGGGGCAACCCUGACCGAGCAACGCCGCGUGAGUGAAGAAGGUUUUCGGAUCGUAAAGCUCUGUUGUAAGUCAAGAACGAGUGUGAGAGUGGAAAGUUCACACUGUGACGGUAGCUUACCAGAAAGGGACGGCUAACUACGUGCCAGCAGCCGCGGUAAUACGUAGGUCCCGAGCGUUGUCCGGAUUUAUUGGGCGUAAAGCGAGCGCAGGCGGUUUGAUAAGUCUGAAGUUAAAGGCUGUGGCUUAACCAUAGUACGCUUUGGAAACUGUUUAACUUGAGUGCAAGAGGGGAGAGUGGAAUUCCAUGUGUAGCGGUGAAAUGCGUAGAUAUAUGGAGGAACACCGGUGGCGAAAGCGGCUCUCUGGCUUGUAACUGACGCUGAGGCUCGAAAGCGUGGGGAGCAAACAGGAUUAGAUACCCUGGUAGUCCACGCCGUAAACGAUGAGUGCUAGGUGUUAGACCCUUUCCGGGGUUUAGUGCCGCAGCUAACGCAUUAAGCACUCCGCCUGGGGAGUACGACCGCAAGGUUG